GGGCUUGCAUGGCAAACCAGGCCCAAGGGGACAAAGAGGACCAACCGGGCCACGUGGAUCAAGAGGCCCGAGGGGCCCGACUGGAAAACCCGGCCCAAAGGGCACCGCUGGCAACGAUGGACCACCUGGCCCACCCGGUG